UGUUUGUUUUAAGGAAACAAAAGGACAUCUAAGUGCAUGCACUAAAUGAGACAGUUGAGGCCUGGGUGCCGGAUCAUGCCACAGCUGCAGCUUCUUUUCCGAACAAAAGUUUGGCCAUAACCAUCCAUGAACUCUUACACCUCUACUUGAAAGCAAGGUGGCC